rnacentral:rRNA from 1 species
UGAAUGCUGGCGGUGUGCCUAAUACAUGCAAGUCGAGCGGAAAGGCCCCUUCGGGGGUACUCGAGCGGCGGACGGCUGAGUAACGCGUAGGAAUGUACCCCAAACUGAGGGAUAAUUCACCGAAAGGUGGACUAAUACCGCAUGUGCUCUUCGGAGUAAAGCUUCGGCGGUUUGGGAAACAGCCUGCGUCCGAUUAGGUUGUUGGUGAGGUAAUGGCUCACCAAGCCUACGAUCGGUAGCUGGUCUGAGAGGAUGAUCAGCCAGACUGGGACUGAGACACGGCCCAGACUCCUACGGGAGGCAGCAGUAGGGAAUUUUCCACAAUGGGCGAAAGCCUGAUGGAGCAACACCGCGUGCAGGAUGAAGGCUUUCGGGUCGUAAACUGCUUUUACUAGUGACGAAUAUGACGGUAACUAGAGAAUAAGGAUCGGCUAACUACGUGCCAGCAGCCGCGGUAAUCUGAUGGCGCGAGG